UACGUAGGGUGCAAGCGUUGUCCGGAAUUAUUGGGCGUAAAGAGCUCGUAGGCGGUUUGUCGCGUCUGCUGUGAAAGCCCGAGGCUCAACCUCGGGCCUGCAGUGGGUACGGGCAGACUAGAGUGCGGUAGGGGAGAUUGGAAUUCCUGGUGUAGCGGUGGAAUGCGCAGAUAUCAGGAGGAACACCGAUGGCGAAGGCAGAUCUCUGGGCCGUAACUGACGCUGAGGAGCGAAAGCAUGGGUAGCGAACAGG
rnacentral:rRNA from 1 species